GUGCUCAUUUUGGCAUUACAUAUACUAAAAUUGGAAAGAUACAGAGAAUAUUCGCAUGGCCUCUGCGCAAGGAUGACACACAAAUUUGUGAAGAAUUCCAUAUUUUG